rnacentral:rRNA from 1 species
AGUGAACGCUGGCGGUAGGCCUAACGCAUGCAAGUCGAACGGCAGCACAGUAAGAGCUUGCUCUUACGGGUGGCGAGUGGCGGACGGGUGAGGAAUACAUCGGAAUCUACUUUUUCGUGGGGGAUAACGUAGGGAAACUUACGCUAAUACCGCAUACGACCUACGGGUGAAAGCAGGGGAUCUUCGGACCUUGCACGAUUGAAUGAGCCGAUGUCGGAUUAGCUAGUUGGCGGGGUAAAGGCCCACCAAGGCGACGAUCCGUAGCUGGUCUGAGAGGAUGAUCAGCCACACUGGAACUGAGACACGGUCCAGACUCCUACGGGAGGCAGCAGUGGGGAAUAUUGGACAAUGGGCGCAAGCCUGAUCCAGCCAUACCGCGUGGGUGAAGAAGGCCUUCGGGUUGUAAAGCCCUUUUGUUGGGAAAGAAAAGCAGCAGGUUAAUACCCCGCUGUUCUGACGGUACCCAAAGAAUAAGCACCGGCUAACUUCGUG